rnacentral:rRNA from 1 species
UACGGCCAUACCACCCUGAACACACCUGAUGUCGUCUGAUAUUGGAAGCUAACAGGGUCAGGCCUGGUUAGUACUUGGAUGGGAGAACAUACACAGGUUGAAAAAUAAGCCAAGGCUAUAC